rnacentral:rRNA from 1 species
UACGAAGGGGCUAGCGUUGUUCGGAAUUACUGGGCGUAAAGCGCACGUAGGCGGAUUGUUAAGUUAGGGGUGAAAUCCCGGGGCUCAACCUCGGAACUGCCUUUGAUACUGGCAAUCUUGAGUCCGGAAGAGGUGAGUGGAAUUCCUAGUGUAGAGGUGAAAUGCGUAGAUAUUAGGAGGAACACCAGUUGCGAAGGCGGCUCUCUGGACUGUAACUGACACUGAGGCACGAAAGCGUGGGGAGCAAACAGGAUUAGAUACCCUGGUAGUCCCUGA